rnacentral:lncRNA from 1 species
GCUAUUUAAAAAUAUAAUAUACCCUUGAGCAAGGUAUAUUCCUACCCAUAAAUUUGAAAUCGUACAUAUUGGGCAUUCAUACGUACAUCUUUCCUCUUGUGUGAAGUAUCCACUAUGGGAUUGUAGUACGGGUGGAUGACUAGUUGCCUUACAUGGAAUAGUUAGUCUACAUAAUGGAAGGAUUGGUAGAUUUAGUGCAGAAAUGGAGGUGCUAAUUCCCCUUGGUUCAGUAAGGGUUGUUAGUCAAUAGUCAAUGAAGACAUUGAUAUUUCUAAAGGGGGGGUGAGUGUAACGUAUGUGAUCAUGGAAUGAGAUUUGGAUAUACUGUCACCGUGAAUCCUUAGAAUCUUGGGGGAUAAAUAGGGAUAAAAAUAACCAUUAAAGGCUCUCUCAUCAAGCAAUUGCCCUUUUUCCAAUUGGCUUAAAUAUAGCAACGCUAAAAUCACUUUUUGGGUGGAUGAAAAGUGACCAGGCAAAGGCAAUCAAAGCACCAUGAUGUGUGUUACGUUUCCUCUUCUGGGAGCAUCCUAGAGAUGGGAAAAAAAAAAA